AUCAUACUUCCUCCCUCCAACAAAAAAUGUCUUAGAUUUGUCAAAAUUUGGAUGUAUCUAAACAUGACUCAAUGUAUAAAUGCAUUCAAAUUUGGUCAAAGUUGAGACAUCUUUGUUAGACGGAGGGAGUAUACU
rfam:Brachypodium distachyon strain Bd21 chromosome 1, whole genome shotgun sequence.